GUAGUCCUGGGAUCUCAGGACCUACCCUUACACUAAACACCCUUUGAAAGAAUGACUUCUUUGGUACUAGGCGUCAGGUUGGCUCUGGGAGCUGGGAGCUGGGCCAUAGGGCAGGCCUGACUGGGUGCUCCCGCUGCGCCUGGGCCUCCGCGCAGGUGCAGGUGGGGCAGGUGGGGCAUGAGGCAGGUGGGACGUCCCUGUCGUCCUGGAUAAUUUAGUGCUUUCAAUAACUGAUAUGGGAAAUACAAAAGAAGAGUAAACUGAUCUCUAAUGCAGAGGAGUUUUCUAAUUUUACGACAAAAAAACAUGUGAUGAAUCUGAGAAAAAAUAUAAAAGAAAGUGUACAUAACAUGUUGAUCUUUGUUUCAACUAGCUACAACAGAGGACCAUGCAUUUGUAUCAACUAAAUAAGAAUUUUUAGAAAUGUUUGUCCUAGAAAAGUGAUGGUUUUAUCUACAGCAGUAUCUGAGGGGUGCAGGUGAGUGAAGAGAAGAAAAAGUCAAGCCCUAAGGCCUUACCCAUUCCAGAAGCAACUCUGCUCUGCUUCCAAUUCUGAGGCCUUGGGUGGUUGUUGGCCUUCAGGUGGGCUUUACUGCUUUACUGCAGGAUGAUAGGGCCGGCCAUGGAGCAUGGGCAGUGAUAUCAGAAAAUCCUGGAUUUGAACCUUAGGUCUGCUGUGCACUGGGCAACUUCCAUGGCUUCUCUGUUUCCCAAUCUACCCUUUCAUUCAUUUAUUUGUCCAGUGAUUUAUUAAUCCUCUCCUGGGUGAC
rnacentral:lncRNA from 1 species